rnacentral:lncRNA from 1 species
AUAGGAGCUAUGGAAGUAAUAAUAGGAGAAGUGGGUACCUCGAUAGGAGCAUUUGGAGUAGGCUCAGCAACUGAAUGAAUAUACGGAGGUACCUCUGGAUCAACUGUGAUACGAGUAGAGGUAGGAACUGCCGAUGCAGAUUCUGACUCAGUCACAACUGCGGUAGUAGUAGUGGGAAGCACAGAAGGCACUGCUGAAACUGGAACCCACUGCUUCUUUGGCUCCACAAACGUCACCUUGCCCUUAUCCUUAUCAGUCCUAGUAAUAGGGGGCCGAACAGGGGGGUGCGCAACAACUGCAGGAGGAGGAGGAGGAACCGUAGUACACUGAUCAUAAGAAUGACCCAAGUGUUUACAAGAGAAGCAAAAAAUUGGCCGCUUCUCAUAGAUAACUGUCUGCCAGAAGCCACGGUUACCAGCGCGCUCAAUCCAAACCCUGUCGGGCAACUUAUGCCCCAAAUUCACCUCAAUGCACACCCUUGCCUCACUAGGUCGUCUCAAGUCGGUGGUGG